rnacentral:lncRNA from 1 species
AUUCGGAGGGACUUGAGGAUCGCGGCGUCUGGCAAGGCGCACUUGAGGGUUGGGUGUGGGUUGCAGGAUGUUCCGCCGCGAGCGCUCCAUCCCACUUCGUGGCUCUGCCGCCGCCCUGUCUAACAACCUCAGUGUACUGCAGCUUCCAGCCCGUGAUCUCACGCAUUUUGGGGUGGUUCAUGGACCGAGCGCCCAGCUUCUCAGCGCUGCCCCUGAGGGUGUGCCCUUGGCCCAGCGCCA